AGAACAAAGAAAUCAAAAUGGGCCGGAGGGGAUAUUCUGCUUUCAAAGGUCAAUACUGAGGCACUAGAAGGAUUUAAGAUGACCCUUUACCCUGGCUUGUCACAGCGUCAUCAAGUAAAAUUCCACUCAAGAGAACAGCAUGCCGCUCUCUUCACAUGAAAAGCAUGGAAACCCCAGCCGUAAACGGUAAAGAAAACCUAAAGUGCAGGAGGAAGUUUUCUCAAGACUGAAAACUAAAAGUUGGAUUCAUAUCCGGUUUCAUUACAUCAAGUUAUUUUCUCAGUAUGUGUCAAAAGUAUCCCCUCUUUUAAGACAAACUCACAUUGAAGUGGAACACAAUUAAUACAUUUAAUUAGAGAAACAUGGUUAAACACAGGUUAAACUAUGUUAAACACAAAUUCAACAGAUAAACAAGAUUAAGCAUAGAGUAAACCGGAUUAAACCAAGUUAACUACAGGUUCAAACACAGGUAAACCAAAUUAAACACAGAUAGACUAAGUCAAACCAGGUUACAUUACAUGUCAUUCGUUGGACACUUUUAUCCAAAGCGACAUGGAUACAUUGAAUACAGUGGACAAUCCCCACAGGAGCCAUUUGGGGUGAAGUGUCUUGCCCAGGCACACAACGACAUGCUGACAGUGGGACUCAAACCUGCUCUCCCCUGAAGAUCAGUGCACCAUCUCACUGCGCCUCAGCCUCCCAGGUUGCACCUAGCACAGGUAAAACACAGGUAAACCAAAUUAAAAACAGGUUAAAUGUAGCACAGGUUAAACAAAGGUGAACAAAGUUAAACUAGGUUAACCGAUAAAAGUAGGUUAGAGCAGGUUUAACUUUUCAAAUAGUGCU